rnacentral:rRNA from 1 species
GACGAACGCUGGCGGCGUGCUUAACACAUGCAAGUCGAACGGAAAGGCCCUGCUUUUGUGGGGUGCCCGAGUGGCGAACAGGUGAGUAACACGUGAGUAACCUGCCCUUGACUUUGGGAUAACUUCAGGAAACUGGGGCUAAUACCGGAUAGGAGCUCCUGCUGCAUGGUGGGGGUUGGAAAGUUUCGGCGGUUGGGGAUGGACUCGCGGCUUAUCAGCUUGUUGGUGGGGUAGUGGCUUACCAAGGCUUUGACGGGUAGCCGGCCUGAGAGGGUGACCGGCCACAUUGGGACUGAGAUACGGCCCAGACUCCUACGGGAGGCAGCAGUGGGGAAUAUUGCACAAUGGGCGGAAGCCUGAUGCAGCAACGCCGCGUGCGGGAUGACGGCCUUCGGGUUGUAAACCGCUUUCGCCUGUGACGAAGCGUGAGUGACGGUAAUGGGUAAAGAAGCACCGGCUAACUACGUG